CGUAUUCACCUUGGGAACAGCUUCCGGGGCAUGCUGCUGGUCUGUCCCCCGUCGUCUUAACAGAAGAUGCUGGCAUGCAACUGAUGGUCCGAUGGUUUGGAGAGUAUCCGUCUCUCACAUAAAGGUCGUCUGUAGAACUACCCAGCUUUACUCCCAUUGUGGUGGAAGAGAACCAGCGACCGAGAAGAAAUUGUUAACCCGGGGAUCGACAAUGUGGAUCUAGGUAUAGUGCUUUUGCUGGCCAACAUGUUUGUGUUAGUAGAGAUGACAGAUACAGUGCGAAUUCCUCCAUGGCAAUUUGAAAGAAAGCUUAAUGAUGCAAUCACUGAAGAGUUAAAUAAGAAGUUGGCCAAUAAGGUUGUAUAUAAUGUUGGCCUCUGUAUCUGUCUAUAUGACAUUACAAAGCUGGAGGAUUCCUACAUAUUCCCAGGAGAUGGUGCAUCACACACAAAAGUACAUUUUAGGUAUGUUGUAUUUCAUCCAUUUUUGGAUGAAAUUCUGGUUGGAGAGAUAAAGGGCUGCAGUCUUGAAGGUGUACAUAUUUCUCUUGGGUUCUUUGAUGACAUACUCAUUCCUCCAGAAUCUCUACAACAGCCUGCUAAAUUCGAUGAAACAGAACAGGUAUGGGUUUGGGAAUAUGAGACUGACGAAGGAGCCCAUGACCUGUACAUGGAUACAGGAGAAGAAAUACGUUUCCGUGUAGUGGAUGAAACUUUCAUUGAUACAUCCCCAACAGGCCCAAGCUCUGUAGAACCUUCCACAUCUAGUGGCACUGAGGAGACACAGAAGAAAGAAGCACCCUACACUAUUGUGGGAUCUAUCAGUGAACCCGGCCUAGGUCUCCUAUCUUGGUGGACCAACAAUUAAUUGACGAUAAAGAUGGACAGUUACACAGAAAAAGCCAGGAGAUGCCUUGAUCAGCAGUUGCAGAAUGUAUUCUCAUUUGCGGUAGUUCCAUUCUAUACAAUCACCAUAAACAGUAGCAAAUAUUGAAACCUCAACUGGAAACAUGCUUAUCAGGAGACUCAAAUUUCUCCCUGCUCUGCAUGAGGAUGAAAACACCGCAAGUAUUGAUUUUUGUUUAUAAAUAAAUUUGAGUAAGCAAAUUUUCAAAUACAAAAUUCACAAUUAGCAGGAAUCAGCUAUACACACACACAAACACAGGUCUUAUAUUGCAGAAUUAUUCACAUUUAAAUUUGUUUAUUCAAACAAAGAAUUUUCUUCCAUGCUUAUAACUGGAAAGCAGUCUAUAAUCAUAAAAAUGAAAUAAGCCAUUCACUUUUGUUAUCUUUUAGUUUAUUCCAAAAUCAGUUACAUACUUAAGAACAUAAGUAUCUACAAAAAUAGCAAAUCUUUCAGAAUAACAUAUAUGAAAUAAAUUUGAACCAAAAGGAUACCACUUAAAGCCCUACUGCAUGAAAGUAAAUUGCAUAUUGACAAUGACUCAAUCCCUCAAAUUCUUCCAACACAUGUAGUUUUUAAAAUUGCUCACACAAAAGAUUACCAAAAAGAUCGAAAAUAAUCUGAUGCAGACAUUCUCUGAAACGAUGGGGCAGUGGAGAGAAAUAAUACAAUUCUAAGGAAAUUCAGUAGGAGGGGCACGGAGAACGGAAAAGAGGGAGCAGCUGAGAAGACUAAAUGGGAGAACUUCACAGCAUUUUAUUGAGGAUAUUCCAUCUGCUUAUUUGGACAAAAAAUGCAUCCUAUUAGAAUAUCCUUACUUAGUGUUUUUAAAAUCUUACGUUCGAAAACUUUAAUAAUAUGUGAAUGACGAGAUUUCACUCACGUUUAAAUAUAACUAGUCAAUGUAAUGCACGAGCUCCUAGAUCUCUCCCCCCCUCCCCCCCAAAAAAAUCAUUACGUGGGGAGUAGGACAUUUUACGUUCGUUGGUAAAGAAGUUAUUCCCUACUCCAGCCAUCCCCUCGCUAUGUGUUAGGGCUGAGUUCCCACGGGCAUGCGACAGAAGAGUGUAUGCCAGAUGUUCAGGUCUCUUCACCUGAUCUACAUUUUGUACACCAUCUUAAAACAGUAGCAGAUGGGCAACUCACCUUACCUACCGUGCCUUAACCGAUUUUAAUGUGAUUUUAAACAGCAGAAUUGCAAUCUGCCGAUGAGCACCCCAAGAGUACAAAACCGAGCUAUCGCCAGCCUGCUCAGUUAACUAAGCGCUACCGUCGAAGGGAGGCCCAAAAUUACAAAUUUGGAGGCUAACACGAACGCCGGUCUAGAGGGAUCUCCUCGUAUCCCGGCAAUGUCGCAACCGUCUCCAAAUCCAUUGAGAGCGGCAACCACCAGUUUCUCCGCAUGCAGCGGGUAAGAAUACCAAGGCUCAGUUCAACAAAUCCAUCUACAAGAAUCGCCCUCGGCAGCUCCCUCAAAACUUCCAGAAGCAAUGUUUGCUGUGAGUUGUAGUUGAAGCUUGCCGGGCAGGUUAGAGGAGCGAUGAGAAGCGUCUACUUACCUAUCUUUGGUUAAUUAAAAAGUUCUGUUCAGAUGAGGCAGAUUAUAGAGCUGCAUUUUUUCACUCUCCUUAUCAAAGUUGCGGUAUUUAUAAUUCCAUGUUGAAAUUAACAUUUAACAUGUAUUUUGUUCUGUACCAUUAAGCGGCUGCGCAAGAAAAGUUUGAAAAGGUUUCCAAAUUACAGCACUGUACUGUAUGAAGUUUCACAGCGCGAUCCUGUGCAAAACUAAGCAAAAAAAGUAUAUUCCGUUUAAUUCAGUGAGAUUUUAUUUUGUAUGUAUUGCACCGUUCUGCUCGAUUUUGUUAAUGCUAUCAAGAAAGAAUGAAUGUUAUAUAAAAAUAUGACUUGAUAUUUUUAAUAUGUUUUAUCAACAGGAAUAAAAUGCAAAACAAAGACAACAGAAAAAUAUAGAUCCAACAGUAACAACAAAAGUUGUGUACAAAAUAAUAAUGACCCAAACAUCAAAUAAGUCUAACAUUAAACGUACAAAAAAACCUCAACUCGCUGUUGGAUGCUGAGAAGAAAAUACCUGAUAAAUUCUCCUCCCCUUACUUAAUGGGUCUGUAAAUAAUUAUAAGCUUUCUUAUCCUUAUUUUACAAGAAAAAUAUAUAAACAACUAUUUCAGAUGAGAAGGUCUGUAUCUAGUAAUCAAAUUGACCCAACAUCUUAUCUGUUUAUAUAUUUUUCUUGAUAUAUAAAGAACAGUCAACAGGUUAGCCCAGUCUCUUAUAAAGCUUUUUAGUCCAUUGUCUCUAAUAAAAGCAGUUGAUUUUGCCAUCUUUGUUAAUUCAGUCAAUUUUAGAAUCCAUUCUUUAACAGUCAGCAUCUCUUUCCCAGUGCUUAAUAAAUACAGUCCUCACAGCCGUCAACAUGUAAACAAAUAAUGUCCCAAAUUGUUUUUUGAUUGGUUUAUCCAAUUUCAUUAAUUUUUAUAUCUUAAAUAUUUUCUGCAUUAUGUUUAUCAGAAAGUUUUCAUAUACUUGCAACACUAUGUAAUAAAAUGUACCCAGAUUUUGAUUACAUUUCCAUUACUUUAGAAGUUCCUCUCUAUAUUUUUGCUAAUCUAUCUGGAAUCAAAUACCAAUGAUACAUCAUUUUAUAAAAAAAUUAUUUCAAACUAUAAUUCAAAGUAAAUUUUAAUCCAUUAGUCCAUAUAGUCUCCCAUUUAUCUAGUGCUGUUACCCAAAAAUUUUAACCCAUUUUAUCAUACAAUCUUUGCAAUACUUGUCUUUCAAAUCCAUCUUCAGUAACAUUUUAUAUACUUUAGCGACCAAAUGGUCAUCUCCAAAACAUAAAUUGAUACCCAAUUCAGAUUUAACUCCUGUGAAAGCAAAACUUUUUUAAUGAAGUUUAAAUCUUUCAAAAAUUCUAUAAUUAAACUAAUCACAAAUCCUUUACUUGCUAAUUGUUCUUGUCUUUGUCCUUGGUCCCUCUUUUUCAAAUAUCAAUAACUCCCACUAGGUGAUCCAUUUACAUCCCAAUAACUUCUCUCUUCUAUGUUGUGCCUCAUGAGGUGAUAACCAAAAUGGCACUCUUUCAGCCAGUCUUCUUUUAUAUUUCCACCACACACACCCAAUCAAUUGCCUAAUAAUAUGAUUUUUAAAACUAGAGUUAACUUUUACUUUGUCAUACCACAAAUAAGCAAGCCAUCCAAAUGUCAAAUCAGAGUCUUCAGGGUCUAACAAUCUUGAUUGUUUUAGAGUUAUCCAUACCAAACAUAUCUUUUAACCAUACCAAACAUCAAGUAUCAUAGUUUAGUCUAAGAUCCCUUCUUUAGAAUCCUGUUAAGAGCUUGUAUUUAAUUCUUGUUUUUUUUAUUUUGCAAAUGGAAUUUAGAUACAUCUUUCUGCCAAGAAGGAACUUUAAUCAAUAUCAGUAUAGCCUUCAAGGUAGUACAUUCAUUUUAAUUGCUGAAAUUCUUCCUGUCAACAAUUCUAGUUUUUACCAUAUGUUUAAAUCCGUCUGUAUCUCCUUCCAUAUUUUAAUUUAGUUUUUAUAUAACUUAGAAUUUUCAUCUGUAAGAAUCACCCCCCAAUACUUUACCUUUUUCACAACUUUAAAGCCAGUUUUAAGUUCCAAUUUCUUCCAGUCUUAGUGUUAGUGUUAAUGUUAGUUAGUGUUACUAACAUAACUGCAAUGAUUCACUCACCAACUAUGGAAAGAAAGAAGAAACUCACUUAUCAAUUGUCCAGCUUAGCAACAAAAAUUUUGUGCUCAACUGUGAUUGUAAGUUGAGAACUUCCUGUAUAUUAUAUCUGUUGAAGUUCUACAUCUACUGUUAAACUCACUUGAUAAAAAAUGAAGUAAAAUUGCAAGAAUUGUUCUUAAUAACCCAUGCUGAUUUCAGCAAACCAUCAUCUGAUUUGUUCACAGCUUAAAGAUUCAAUUUACCUGGUUCUGAAGAUUUAAAUGAAUUCAAAGGAAAGUCCUUAUUUUUGUUAAUCUCAGACUUCAAUUCUGCUGCCUGCCUUUUCUGGUAGAACAUACAGUUUUUUAUUUAUUGUUCUACUAAGAUUAUUAAAACUGACAUUGUUUUUCAUUAAACACUCAGCGUUCUCCACAGAUUAAUAUUAAGGCAAAAGCCCUCCCAAUAAUGAGAUUAUAAAUCCUGAUAUUUCUGGCAUAUAAUAUCUGUUGUGAAGCAACUACAACUGGCAACUGUUCACUUGGAUAGCAUGGUUCCAGAUUAUUGUAUAUCUUCAUAUCUGGAUAUGUCAUUUACAUCCUGCCUUUCCUCAAAGGUGUUUAGGUCAAUGUAUAAAAGACUUUAGUUCAUUUUAUUCUUCCACAAAUGCUUGUUUUGCAAAUAGGUUAAACUUAAAGAAUACGUUUAACCCUUAAAGUGGGAGGAUUCUUGAGUUGCAAAGAAUCUGAAUUGAAAUUUCUUUGAAAGAAUGAAGACCAGAUUUCUUUAUUAGUUGUGCAAUCAUAUUAAUUGUGUUAUUCCCUUUAUGAGCAGGUAAUAUUAUACAAAGUGCAAAAUAUAUAGUGAGAAAAAAUUAAAGGCAAACAAAACAGUAAACAACAAAGAUCUGAAAAUAAAAGAAAUUGAGAGGGGCAAAACAUAAAGGACAAAUAUCUUUCCACCCAGAUUAUAUGCUGAGUGGCAGGCAUUAUUCCCUAGAAUUGAAUGGGGGGAAUUAAGAAGGACCCAAUAAGAUCUUUGAACAAUUAUCUAGUUUUGGAGGAGAGGAAUCUUGAAGAUCGCAGUUCUCAAUAAGGAGUGAUCAGAAGUCUUUUACCAUCUUUUACUUCAGCUGUUUGUUUUUUUUAAAGCUUACCUUGGUUUUGACUGCACUUUUAAAAUUCCUUUAAUUUUAUUUAUUUUUAAUAACUAGUUGAUUUCUGAUCUAUCUUACAACUCUUGCUGGAUCUUUACAAUUUUCUCUUUGCUGUCUCAUUGUUUACUAUUGAACUAUAAAACACUUUUACUUUCCAUAAGAAAGUUGCCAGUGAAAAUUUAUUAUCCAGUAGUGAAAAUCACCCUAUUGGACUUACACUUACAUUGGAUUAUAUAUGAGGAUUUUAUUCUUACCACUUUUUUUAAUGAAAAAGUGGGAAAAAUCCUUUUCUUUUGAUUAAUUUUCACCCUGGGGGAAAAAUAACUUCUCUCUAUGGACAUUUUGUCAUGAUAUAUCUGUUUGUCUUGUUCUUGGAAGGAAUAUUUUAUUUAUUUAUUUAUUUAUGAGACUUAUAUACCGCUUUAAGUGCAAGCACUCUCUAAGCGGUGUACACCAGUAAGCAAUGUAUAUAUAUAUUUACAUUGCCCCCAACAAUCUGGGUCCUCAUAGUGUGUUUUUCAAAAUGUCUGCAAAAGGAGAUAAAGAAUUCUUUCUAUCUUACAGACUUCUUUUGAAGAUAGAAUCAAAACAUUUGAUGGGUUAACAACAGUUUUGAAUCAAACCCAGGAUGAUACUCAAAAGCAGAAAAUAACAAUGGGGCUUAAUUUGCAGUUUCAUGAAUUGGAAUCUGAUUUGUUGCUGCUAUACCUGAAGAAGAAAGAACCUGGUCUGAACCUUAUAGAUUUGGCAGAAAAGAUUGACAAGAAUAAGAAAUUCAGUGAUAAUGGAACUGAUGAGUGAUGGGCUGGAUAUUUUAGACAAGAUCAAUCCUAUCUUUUCAGAUAGAGCUUUUGAACAGCGGAUGCUGCAGAGACACCUACAAUAAAGACCUAUGGCUCUGAGAAACAGGAUGCAAUUGUUGGGAAAGUUCUUAACUAAAAUUCUAAGAAAUAGUUUUAUGAUUAAGAAUCGGAUGAGAAUAUUUGAUCCUGGACAGAUUAGAGAUAACAAUUGGGGUGAUUUAUAGUAGAUAAGAAACUGUUGUAGACAAUAACAGAUUGUUAACAAAGGGCUUUAAAGUUUUUAUUGAUUAAAUUGUUAAUUAUUAUAACAGUUAGAUCUACUGUAUAACAGUUUGAUUGGUUGCAAAUAGAUGUAGAAGUUUAUAAAUCUUAAACUUGACUGCAAGGGGAGGAGGCUAUUAUUGUUGCAAUAUAUUGGUCAGUGCUCAACUGGGGGGGGGGUGUUUUUGUUUUUGAAUCCAUGUUUUUAAUGUCUAUUUAGUUUUAUUUUGUUCUUGUAAGAUUUCCAUUUCCCCCCUGGAGAUUGUAUUUUAAUUUUCUGUAUUAAAAAUAAAAUAAAAGAACAAAGGAAAA